rnacentral:lncRNA from 1 species
CAGAAUCCGCGCUCCCGCCCUCCAUUGUUCCCCGUGGCUAGCUAGGGUUUCGUCCGCCACCUCAUCUCCGGCGACGGCGGGUCCAGCAGCAUGCGGAUCCGGUAUCGGGCUAUCCCAGGUUGGUAGUUCCACUCAUUCCUUGCACAAAUUCUCCCUCCCCACCUCACCUCACCAUCUCCUCGUUUCGUUCCCUUUUCUACAGCAUGGCACGGAUGGGACGACGACGGCAGCAGGAGGGCGCGGGCCAUGUCCUGCUCGAGGAGGCGGAUAGUAGGGGCGCGCCCAGCCGGCAACCCUGUCCUGCUCGAGGAGGUGGAUAGUAGGGGCGCACCCAGCCGGCAGCCCUAUCCUUCUCGAGGAGGCGGAUAGUAGGGGUGUGCCCAGCCGGAUCCAUCUUCGGUCGGCGGCCACGGAUCCAUCUUCAGUCGGCGGCGAGCUGUGGUGACGUACAUGUGGUGCUGAUGGAUGC